GCCGAGGCCUCGCGCCGCGGGUUGGGCCGGGCCGGGCCCCGAGGCCUCACUGUGGGGUUGGAGCGGAGCUGCGCCCGGGGCCUCGAAGGGCUCCGGGAAGCGGGGACCGAACGAGGAUGCUGCUUCGUGCUGGUGCAAUCCGCAGACCUAUUUAAAGGGGAAAAACUAGGAACUGCACAUUGAAAAUCUCUCACAGCUGGACCCUGAGCCUGACUCACUUCAUGAAGCUCUGGAAAAGACUCUUCGCCGCAGAUUGACUUAGCAAAUCUGAAAUCCAGCAACGCCUGCAGCGAGCAGCAGCAGCACAGGGCUGGCUGCGGGUGAUUGCUGCCAUUUCCUGCCCUCUCCCUCAGGACCCGGUCCCCACUGCUGCCUCCAUCGAUUGGAUGCGAUGCAUCCGGCCGCUAAAAGCAAAGGUUGCUCCGGAGCGAUACAGGAUGUGCAAGCAGGAAAGAGCCGUGCAGCUCGCCAGCCUUUUCUUUGCUAUUUAUCUUGCUGUCUGUCUAAAGCAUAUUCUCUUUGAAAACGGAAUAACAUCAAUCCGGAAUAGUA